UACGGAGGGGGCUAGCGUUGUUCGGAAUUACUGGGCGUAAAGCGCACGUAGGCGGCUUUGUAAGUUAGAGGUGAAAGCCCAGGGCUUAACCCUGGAAUUGCCUUUAAGACUGCAUCGCUAGAAUUGUGGAGAGGUAAGUGGAAUUCCGAGUGUAGAGGUGAAAUUCGUAGAUAUUCGGAAGAACACCAGUGGCGAAGGCGACUUACUGGACACAUAGUU
rnacentral:rRNA from 1 species